GACGAACGCUGGCGGCGUGCCUAAUACAUGCAAGUAGAACGCUGAAGGAGGAGCUUGCUUCUCUGGAUGAGUUGCGAACGGGUGAGUAACGCGUAGGUAACCUGCCUGGUAGCGGGGGAGAACUAUUGGAAACGAUAGCUAAUACCGCAUAAUAGUAGAUGUCGCAUGACAUUUGCUUAAAAGGUGCAAUUGCAUCACUACCAGAUGGACCUGCGUUGUAUUAGCUAGUUGGUGAGGUAACGGCUCACCAAGGCAACGAUACAUAGCCGACCUGGGAGGGGGAUCGGCCACCCUGGGAAUGGGACAAGGCCCAGACUCCUAAGGGAGGCAGCAGUAGGGAAUCUUCGGAAAUGGACGGAAGUCUGAACGAGCAACGCCGCGUGAGUGAAGAAGGUUUUCGGAUCGUAAAGCUCUGUUGUAAGAGAAGAACGAGUGUGAGAGUGGAAAGUUCACACUGUGACGGUAGCUGAACAGAAAGGGACGGCUAACUACGUG
rnacentral:rRNA from 1 species